GUUAUAUGGUCAAGUGAAGAAGCGCAUACGGUGGAUGCCUUGGCAGUCAGAGGCGAUGAAAGACGUGGUAGCCUGCGAAAAGCUUCGGGGAGUCGGCAAACAGACUGUGAUCCGGAGAUAUCUGAAUGGGGGAACCCAGCCAUCAUAAGAUGGUUAUCUUGUACUGAAUACAUAGGUGCAAGAGGCGAACCAGGGGAACUGAAACAUCUAAGUACCCUGAGGAAAAGAAAUCAACCGAGAUUCCCUUAGUAGUGGCGAGCGAACGGGGACCAGCCCUUAAGUUGUAUUGAGAUUAGCGGAACGUUCUGGAAAGGACGGCCAUAGUGGGUGAUAGCCCUGUACGCGAAAAUCCCUUUGCAAUGAAAUCGAGUAGGACGGGGCACGAGAAACCUUGUCUGAAUAUGGGGGGACCAUCCUCCAAGGCUAAAUACUACUGACUGACCGAUAGUGAACCAGUACCGUGAGGGAAAGGCGAAAAGAACCGCGGAGAGCGGAGUGAAAUAGAUCCUGAAACCGUAUGCGUACAAGCAGUGGGAGCCCACUUUGUUGGGUGACUGCGUACCUUUUGUAUAAUGGGUCAGCGACUUAUUUUCAGUGGCGAGCUUAACCGAAUAGGGGAGGCGUAGCGAAAGCGAGUCUUAAUAGGGCGUCUAGUCGCUGGGAAUAGACCCGAAACCGGGCGAUCUAUCCAUGGGCAGGUUGAAGGUUGGGUAACACUAACUGGAGGACCGAACCGACUACCGUUGAAAAGUUAGCGGAUGACCUGUGGAUCGGAGUGAAAGGCUAAUCAAGCUCGGAGAUAGCUGGUUCUCCUCGAAAGCUAUUUAGGUAGCGCCUCAUGUAUCACUGUAGGGGGUAGAGCACUGUUUCGGCUAGGGGGUCAUCCCGACUUACCAAACCGAUGCAAACUCCGAAUACCUACAAGUGCCGAGCAUGGGAGACACACGGCGGGUGCUAACGUCCGUCGUGAAAAGGGAAACAACCCAGACCGUCAGCUAAGGUCCCAAAGUCAUGGUUAAGUGGGAAACGAUGUGGGAAGGCUUAGACAGCUAGGAGGUUGGCUUAGAAGCAGCCACCCUUUAAAGAAAGCGUAAUAGCUCACUAGUCGAGUCGGCCUGCGCGGAAGAUGUAACGGGGCUCAAACCAUGCACCGAAGCUACGGGUAUCAUCUUAUGAUGAUGCGGUAGAGGAGCGUUCUGUAAGCCUGUGAAGGUGAGUUGAGAAGCUUGCUGGAGGUAUCAGAAGUGCGAAUGCUGACAUGAGUAACGACAAUGGGUGUGAAAAACACCCACGCCGAAAGACCAAGGUUUCCUGCGCAACGUUAAUCGACGCAGGGUUAGUCGGUCCCUAAGGCGAGGCUGAAAAGCGUAGUCGAUGGAAAACAGGUUAAUAUUCCUGUACUUCUGGUUAUUGCGAUGGAGGGACGGAGAAGGCUAGGCCAGCCUGGCGUUGGUAGUCCAGGUUUAAGGUGGUAGGCUGAGAUCUUAGGUAAAUCCGGGAUCUUAAGGCCGAGAGCUGAUGACGAGUGUUCUUUUAGAACACGAAGUGGUUGAUGCCAUGCUUCCAAGAAAAGCUUCUAAGCUUCAGGUAACCAGGAACCGUACCCCAAACCGACACAGGUGGUUGGGUAGAGAAUACCAAGGCGCUUGAGAGAACUCGGGUGAAGGAACUAGGCAAAAUGGCACCGUAACUUCGGGAGAAGGUGCGCCGGUGGAGGUGAAGCAUUUACUGCGUAAGCCCCUGCCGGUCGAAGAUACCAGGCCGCUGCGACUGUUUAUUAAAAACACAGCACUCUGCAAACACGAAAGUGGACGUAUAGGGUGUGACGCCUGCCCGGUGCCGGAAGGUUAAUUGAUGGGGUUAGCGCAAGCGAAGCUCUUGAUCGAAGCCCCGGUAAACGGCGGCCGUAACUAUAACGGUCCUAAGGUAGCGAAAUUCCUUGUCGGGUAAGUUCCGACCUGCACGAAUGGCGUAACGAUGGCGGCGCUGUCUCCACCCGAGACUCAGUGAAAUUGAAAUCGCUGUGAAGAUGCAGUGUAUCCGCGGCUAGACGGAAAGACCCCGUGAACCUUUACUAUAGCUUUGCACUGGACUUUGAAUUUGCUUGUGUAGGAUAGGUGGGAGGCUUUGAAGCGUGGACGCCAGUCUGCGUGGAGCCAACCUUGAAAUACCACCCUGGCAACUUUGAGGUUCUAACUCAGGUCCGUUAUCCGGAUCGAGGACAGUGUAUGGUGGGUAGUUUGACUGGGGCGGUCUCCUCCUAAAGAGUAACGGAGGAGUACGAAGGUGCGCUCAGACCGGUCGGAAAUCGGUCGUAGAGUAUAAAGGCAAAAGCGCGCUUGACUGCGAGACAGACACGUCGAGCAGGUACGAAAGUAGGUCUUAGUGAUCCGGUGGUUCUGUAUGGAAGGGCCAUCGCUCAACGGAUAAAAGGUACUCCGGGGAUAACAGGCUGAUACCGCCCAAGAGUUCAUAUCGACGGCGGUGUUUGGCACCUCGAUGUCGGCUCAUCACAUCCUGGGGCUGAAGCCGGUCCCAAGGGUAUGGCUGUUCGCCAUUUAAAGUGGUACGCGAGCUGGGUUUAGAACGUCGUGAGACAGUUCGGUCCCUAUCUGCCGUGGACGUUUGAGAUUUGAGAGGGGCUGCUCCUAGUACGAGAGGACCGGAGUGGACGAACCUCUGGUGUUCCGGUUGUCACGCCAGUGGCAUUGCCGGGUAGCUAUGUUCGGAAAAGAUAACCGCUGAAAGCAUCUAAGCGGGAAACUUGCCUCAAGAUGAGAUCUCACUGGAACCUUGAGUUCCCUAAAGGGCCGUCGAAGACUACGACGUUGAUAGGUUGGGUGUGUAAGCGCUGUGAGGCGUUGAGCUAACCAAUACUAAUUGCCCGUGAGGCUUGACCAUAUAACACCCAAGCAAUU
rnacentral:rRNA from 1 species